UAGGGAAUCUUCGGCAAUGGACGAAAGUCUGACCGAGCAACGCCGCGUGAGUGAAGAAGGUUUUCGGAUCGUAAAACUCUGUUGGUAGAGAAGAACGUUGGUGAGAGUGGAAAGCUCAUCAAGUGACGGUAACUACCCAGAAAGGGACGGCUAACUACGUGCCAGCAGCCGCGGUAAUACGUAGGUCCCGAGCGUUGUCCGGAUUUAUUGGGCGUAAAGCGAGCGCAGGUGGUUUAUUAAGUCUGGUGUAAAAGGCAGUGGCUCAACCAUUGUAUGCAUUGGAAACUGGUAGACUUGAGUGCAGGAGAGGAGAGUGGAAUUCCAUGUGUAGCGGUGAAAUGCGUAGAUAUAUGGAGGAACACCGGUGGCGAAAGCGGCUCUCUGGCCUGUAACUGACACUGAGGCUCGAAAGCGUGGGGAGCAAACAGGAUUAGAUAGCCCUGGUAGUCCACCGCGUAAACGAUGAGUGCU
rnacentral:rRNA from 1 species